rnacentral:rRNA from 1 species
GAGUUUGAUCGUGGCUCAGAUUGAACGCUAGCGGGAUGCCUUACACAUGCAAGUCGAACGGCAGCACGGACUUCGGUCUGGUGGCGAGUGGCGAACGGGUGAGUAAUGUAUCGGAACGUGCCUAGUAGCGGGGGAUAACUACGCGAAAGCGUAGCUAAUACCGCAUACGCCCUACGGGGAAAGCAGGGGAUCGCAAGACCUUGCACUAUUAGAGCGGCCGAUAUCGGAUUAGCUAGUUGGUGGGGUAACGGCUCACCAAGGCGACGGUCCGUAGCUGGUUUGAGAGGACGACCAGCCACACUGGGACUGAGACACGGCCCAGACUCCUACGGGAGGCAGCAGUGGGGAAUUUUGGACAAUGGGGGAAACCCUGAUCCAGCCAUCCCGCGUGUGCGAUGAAGGCC